GACGAACGCUGGCGGCGUGCUUAACACAUGCAAGUCGAACGGAAAGGCCCCUUUGGGGGUCCUCGAGUGGCGAACGGGUGAGUAACACGUGAGUAACCUGCCCUUGACUUCGGGAUAACUUCAGGAAACUGGGGCUAAUACCGGAUAGGAAUCCUUGCUGCAUGGUGGGGGUUGGAAAGCUUCGGCGGUUUUGGAUGGACUCGCGGCUUAUCAGCUUGUUGGUGGGGUAGUGGCUUACCAAGGCUUUGACGGGUAGCCGGCCUGAGAGGGCGACCGGCCACAUUGGGACUGAGAUACGGCCCAGACUCCUACGGGAGGCAGCAGUGGGGAAUAUUGCACAAUGGGCGGAAGCCUGAUGCAGCAACGCCGCGUGCGGGAUGACGGCCUUCGGGUUGUAAACCGCUUACAGCAGGGGCGAAGCUUGUGGUGACGGUACCUGCAGAAGAAGCACCGGCUAACUACGUG
rnacentral:rRNA from 1 species